rnacentral:lncRNA from 1 species
AAGAACCGAGGAGGUUGGCCUUCUCCACUUCUCCUCCCCUCCACUUUUCUCACUCUUGCGCUUCCAUCCUCACCGGGGCUACAAAUACGUUCCCCUUGCGGGUGUGGCGACUGCGUGGUCGAGACGGCGUCCGUAGAACCCUAAACAAUCUUUCCCAAUCUUUUCCACCUGCUCCGGGUCCUCCUUCUACUGCCGGCCUCCCCACGCCGGUGUUCAGACCCGUCCCUUCUGUCGUUCCUCCGCUCCGGGUCCUCCUCGAGGCGGCAGCAUCGGACGCAACAGACGCGGCGGACGCGACUCGCGGCCCCGGUUUGUGCGGGAUCCAUCAAGGUGGCCUCGGGAAGGAGCAGGUCGCCGGUAUCCCCACGCCUCCUCGCGGCCGCCAUGGCAGGCAAGCAAUCACCUCGCAGCCGAUUUAUUCUCUGCGCACGCCAUGCCUCCCCUGCGGUUUCUCCUCGCGCUGACGGCCUGGGACGCACGCACCGGAUGAGACCCUCCCUGCCGCGGAGGAGAAGCUCGCCGGCCUCCCCCUGCCUCCUUGACGUAGAUAUCAAUGCUCGCAAGCCCAGCUUCAAGAAGACGGUUAGCAUAUCUUCCCCUUAAAGUGAUUGCCUUCAUUUGGUGUUGUCAUUUGUGAUGUCUAUGAUUUUUGGUGCUUACGAUCACUCAUAAAGAUGGGAUCCCGGGUGGUGGCGUGUUGCAUGACAGUUCUUCUCUGUUUUUCCUUAGGUGUGCCAUGUUAAGGUUCCAAAUGUUCUAAACCUCUGCAUAUUCAGGUUCGAUUCAGAAUUUGAGAAGCAGGUGCUUACGGUGUCACGCAGUACAGUGAAAAAGGCGUUCAAAUAUACUUAACAGGUUACAUAUCUUUCCCCUUUGUCUCCCUCCUACCUUGCUUGAAAACAGUUCUCCGCAACUAUUAAAAUAAUCUGCUGAAACUGCUCUACAGGUCCAUCAUUUCAGCUUCCGGUUCAUUCAUCUAUCUAAAUUGUGAGGAGGAGCUAUCAAGGCUAGGGAUGUGUAUACAUCACUCCUAGCCACCGGAAGAAGUGGCCAGUUUUCCCCGUACACCUAAUUGUCUACAAUUUUGAUUGAUUUAUUAUUUUUGCAAGAAUUUGAAACUGCAGGACGCCGGAGGCAUCCAAUAGUUGUGAUUUCCUGUUUGCUUUUGUCAAAUAUCUUCAGAAUUGUAAAAGUCACUCGCCUUAUUAAUCUUUUCGUCUCCACAGAGGUUAUGUUUGUGAGCACGUUUAAUCCCAGUCUUCUAUUUAUUAGGUCGCUACUUAUUGGUCCAUGUUUUACUAAUCGAUUCAGAUACAUUCCACUUUUGCUUGAAUUUAUACUGUGAGAAGCUGUGUUUUGAUUUUCGGUUUGAGCUUUUUUUCGCCCUAGGCCGAGAUGGCCGAAUUUCGGCCAUUUUCAAAAUUUUCGGCUGAAAUUUGAUUAAAUUUUGACUGCGAUUUGACUUAAAUUUGACCAAAAUUUACCAAAUUUGAGCAAUUUCGGUCUAAAUAUAUUUUUCGCCCCAGGCCGAGAUGGCCGAAAUUCGGCCGAAAUCCACUUUUUUCGGCCGAAAAUCAAAACACAGGUGAGAAGUAAUGAAGCCAAACAGGUUGUUAUUCUUAAUCAACGGGAAUUGAAGAUCUACUCCCAUAAUUCAAAGGGAAAAAAUAGAAUAAGCCUUUCUUAGUAUCAUGGCAGUGUUCCAUACUUUGAUACUCUAAUACACUAUAGUGCAAUUCACAGAAAUCCUAUUCACACUGAGGCAUUGGUCAUACAAUAGGAUCAGACGUUGAUAUCUAUACUUUGGCCAUAUACAUCGACAAGACCCAGUCUACUACCCGUGGAGAAACUGUUCUCUUUUGUUACAUUGUUCACCUUGG